GGGGGCAAAACCUGAACAGCCAUGCCGCGUGAGUGAAGAAGGCCUUCGGGUUGUAAAGCUCUUUUGGGAGGAAAGAAGGGACUGGGUAGUAAAAGGGGGGGGGGACGCUUCCGAGCGAGCACCCCCGGGAUUACUCCCUGCCACCAGCCCCGAUAAUA
rnacentral:rRNA from 1 species